UGGGGGAUCGUCUAGGGGUAGGACAGCAGACUUUGGAUCUGUAUGCGGAGGUUCGAAUCCUCCUCCCCCAGCCU
rnacentral:tRNA from 1 species